rnacentral:lncRNA from 1 species
GGGCAACAAAGCGAGACCCUCAUCUCUACAAACAAUUAAAAAAUUAGCUGGGCUUCGUGGUUCACGCCUGUAGUUCCAGCUACUCAGGAAGUUGAGGUGGGAAGAUCACCUGGGCUUGGAUAGAUCAAGGCUGCAGUGAGCCGUGAUUGCGCCACUGUACUCUAGCCAGGGUGACAGAGAGACUCUGUCUAAAAAAAAAAAAAAAGGAAAAAAAAAAAAACUUGGAAGGUGCAUUCAAGGUUGUCAACAUGGUUGUGUGGGUUGUGUCAUGGGCCCAGGUUCAGCCUGGAGCCAUGACAUGAGUGGAACAGACUAGAAGGGGAGGGAGGGGAAAAUAAAGAGAAAGGGAAAAUGGAAUCUGUUUUAAGGAAACCCACCAGGGUAUACAAUAUAAUCACACGAUGUGUAUAUAUGCAAUUAUGUCAGUUAUGAGGAAUGAAAAUAAAAAUGGCAUUGAUUUUUUUCUCAAUAACCUUGUGAAAUAUUAUUUUUCCCACUUAAUAGAUAAGGAAAUGGAUGAUCUGAUUUGCCAAAGGCUAUCUGAUUCCAAGGCUUAAAUUAUUUUCCUAUAAGUAUGAUGCACAGUUAUAAUGAAAAAAAAUCAAAUAUCAUAGUAAAGUACAAUGAAGAUUGUAAAAACUCCUGAGUUCCAGAGACACUGCUAUUAAAAUUUGAGAAAACAACACUCCAGAAGUUUCUCUAUGCAUAUAUACCAUUUACCAAAUCAUGCAAAAUAUGCCAAAGUCAGUCGGCUGUGAGGUUAUGGGGGAGGUACUGCAUCCCUGCAGGAAGUGGAUGCUUCUAUUGUCACUCAUUCUGAAAAGUGGAUAAUCCUGGGCAGGGAAUUAGGCCAGUCUGAGGGCUGAGGGAGGAGGGGGCAGGCCCAGGACCGGCCUUGGGAGGCUCAACGUGGUUCCUGUGAUGGGAAGGAGCUGCCCUGACAGCUGCAGGCAGCCAGCCUCCCAAAAUGUGGAUGGCAAGUAAGAGGCAUGGGUAAUAAUGGUCUCUAUCCUCCUGAACAGCUCUCCCCCUGGACAGCCGUGAAAGAAAUUGGGACUGAUCUUUGGACAGGAGGAUGGCUGUGUCCCCUCCUGAGGUCAGAGGGGGACACUGCUUCCAGACAGGGCCUGCAGCUGAGCUUACAGCCUCUCCCGACAUGGCCACGUGAUGAUUUGGUCAUGCCUUCUGAUGAAUGGCUAUCUGCUUAUGUGCCUAGAUCCACCAGAGUUGUCACAGUUACAGGCCAGUUACUAGGAGGCCUCUUCUGAAUGUGACAUGGGAGGAGGGUCUCCCCUUUUCUCUUGGGGAGACACUGAGGUGAAAUAGGCCUGCACCAGCCAAUACAGAGGCAGCAAGUAGAGUCCUGAAGACACUCACUUGGCUGCAAAAGAGACCAGGGGUUUCCUCCAGCUGCCUGGUUGGCUGCUGCUCUGAGAAGAUACCAGGCCUCUGCUCCGGUGGCUUCAGGGAGGCCACCCUGGACACAGCCAGCAGAAGCAGGUCAUCGAUGGAGGGGUCAGCCUACAAGGACACAGCCAAGUUCAUGUUCUUUGGGAGGUGGCAGCCAAGGACUUGGUGCACUGCAAGGAGGUCAGGGAAACAGAGACAGAGAAGCUGCUUCUCCAAACUUCAGUGACCACACCUGUGUUCCUGCAGCUGAGUGUCUCUCAGAAUGGGUGUCUCUUAGGGACACACUGCUGUAGCUCAACACAGGAGCAUUGCCAACACUUUGAGCUGGAGAAUAACACAAACCACAGAUGAGCCUCUUGGAAUGACCACUGUGGGGACCUGAAGGUGUGUACUGGAGGCUGGACAAGCGUUGAGGGGCUCCCCUGGCGAGCAUCUGUGACAGGUUUGAUGAGGCCUGUUCCCAGCAGUGGCAGUGAGACUGGCAUGUCUGGAUGACCUCUACCCAGAGGCCCAGCUUUAUUGCAGGCUGGCUCUGAAUCCUUUCAUCUCUGGCCGCAGCCGGACAAAGUGCCAGAGCUGAGCAGCUGCCUCAGUUCUCCAGCCCCUGUGCUCUGAGAGGCCACACAGGGGACAGAGAUCAGAGGAGCCGACACCAAAGUGAUGCAACUGCCCUCCCAGGAAUGCUGUUCUCAACAGAGGAAAAAGAGUGAAAUCAAGUCUGUGGUGUAGCUUUUACCAGUAGGGAAGAGUUCAGCAGUUUGUGACUUGCUCAAGGUCACACAGCCAGUAAGUGGCUGUUUAAUAUCUGUCCCUCUCCAUUAGAUCAUUAGUUUGAUAAUGGCCAACAGGGAUUAUUUCUCUGUUGUUCUUCACUGUAUUACCAGGAUAUAAAUAUCUUUGUUGAACAAACAAAUGAGAAAAUGAAUGAAUGAAAGAAACAACAGCUGGAAUCCUAUCAGCUUCUGCCAGGUGAGAAGGAGCCAGCCUUUCUGGAGUACCUUUCCAUAGGCCGAACGCUGUCUGAGCCUUCUCUUACUUGUUCCUCACCAGAAUCCUAAAAGAGAAAUUGAAGCUCAGAGAGGUGAGUUAAUUUGCCUGAGGCCACAGAGGUAAAAAGGGACAGACAGGCCUGGAACCAUGUUUCUCUGACUCUAUUGCAGGUGGCCUCAUCCCCACUGCUCGCUGCCUGUUCGGAGAUAGGACCUUGACCAGCCCACCCUCCCAGCCUUGCAGCUCUGACUUUUGGUGGACUGUCCUCUUCCAUGCUCACUUCUUGGAGGCUCCAACUUUGUUUAAGGCAAAUGGAAUAUGACAAAGGCAACCGUGGCCAUCAAAAUGCCACUCUAAAUGCCGGGAAGUUUAAAGUGGGUCCUCAUUUUGCAAUAAGGCAGGCUUUUAUGGAAACUAAGUGUAUCCCAGUAUUCUAAUGAUCAAUCACUUUAACUACAGUUUUCUUCUUUGUAUGCUUUGUAAGUUUUUAAUUAAUCAUGAUCAUAUACCACCUAAUUACAAAUGGUGGCCUGUGGAUGAGUAAAAUAUCCCCCAAACUGGCUUUCUUCCUCUCUGCUGUGUCGCAAGUUCCACACGAUCUUGCCCAUGACUGCUGCAAGGUUCCCUCCCACCUGCCUGCCUACAUAGCGCGACAGUAGCAGAGGGUGGUGCGAUCAGAAAGCCCUUGGAUGGUAUCCUAUGUUAACAUUUGCAACUGCAGUGAGUCCUGGAGGACGGCACUGUGGUAGUUUCUUUGACAUCACAUUGCAAGUUAGUAUAGGACCUGGGCUUUCCCUCAUCUGCUUUCCACUGACUACCCCCCAUCCUCUUUCUGACCACCUGUAUGCCCUUUUCCCUAGUCAUCACUCAUUUUUCCUUUUAUUUACUUCCUACUUUCCCACUCCUGGCCUCAUUCUGCCUGGAGGAAUGUUCUCUCUUUCUGUUUCCAAACUCUGCUGAAUUUUUGUUGCUGUUGUUAUUUAGUUUUUAUUUCAUAAUCAUAAACUUAACUCUGCAAUCCAGCUAGGCAUGGAAGGGAAUAAGGAAAACAUGGAACCCAAAGGGAACUGCAGUGAGAACAGAAAGGUUAUAGGAUACUGUGAGCAAAUGGGGUGGAGGGGACAAUAUGGUUUGUCUGUGUCCCCAUUCAAAUCUCAACUUCAAUUGUAGCUCCCAGAAUUCCCACGUGUUUUGGGAGGGGCCUACGGGGAGGUAAUUGAAUCAUGGGGGCUGGUCUUUUUAGUGCUAUUCUCGUGACAGUGAAUAAGUCUCAUGAGAUCUGACGGUUCUAUCAAAUGUUUCCACUUUUGCUUCUUCUUCAUUUUUCUCUUGCCACCACCAUGUAAGAAGCGCCUUUUGCCUCCCACCGUGAUUCUGAGGUGUCCCCAGCCACGUGGAACUGUAAGUCCAAUUAAACCUCUUUUUGUUCCCAGUUUCAGGUAUGUCUUCUUUAUCAUCCCCAUAAAAAUGGACUAAUACAGGGCUACUCUCCUGACCUACAGAAAGAAUGGUCUGGUGGUUAAGGUAAAACACAGGUCAAACUUACCAGAGUUGUCCACAAUCAGCAAUGGUGAUCUUCUUGCUGGUCUUGCCAUUCCUGGACCCAAAGGGCUCCAUGGCCUCCACAAUAUUCAUGCCCU